UUUAAAGAGAGUUUGAUCCUGGCUCAGGACGAACGCUGGCGGCGUGCCUAAUACAUGCAAGUCGAACGAACGGAGGAAGAGCUUGCUCUUCCAAAGUUAGUGGCGGACGGGUGAGUAACACGUGGGCAACCUGCCUGUAAGUUGGGGAUAACUCCGGGAAACCGGGGCUAAUACCGAAUGAUAGAAUGUGGCGCAUGCCACGCUUUUGAAAGAUGGUUUCGGCUAUCGCUUACAGAUGGGCCCGCGGUGCAUUAGCUAGUUGGUAGGGUAAUGGCCUACCAAGGCAACGAUGCAUAGCCGACCUGAGAGGGUGAUCGGCCACACUGGGACUGAGACACGGCCCAGACUCCUACGGGAGGCAGCAGUAGGGAAUCUUCCGCAAUGGACGAAAGUCUGACGGAGCAACGCCGCGUGUAUGAAGAAGGUUUUCGGAU
rnacentral:rRNA from 1 species